rnacentral:rRNA from 1 species
CCUACGGGAGGCUGCAGUGAGGAAUAUUGGUCAAUGGACGAGAGUCUGAACCAGCCAAGUAGCGUGAAGGAUGACUGCCCUAUGGGUUGUAAACUUCUUUUAUAUGGGAAUAAAACGUUCCACGUGUGGGAUUUUGUAUGUACCAUAUGAAUAAGGAUCGGCUAACUCCGUGCCAGCAGCCGCGGUAAUACGGAGGAUCCGAGCGUUAUCCGGAUUUAUUGGGUUUAAAGGGAGCGUAGGUGGAUUGUUAAGUCAGUUGUGAAAGUUUGCGGCUCAACCGUAAAAUUGCAGUUGAAACUGGCAGUCUUGAGUACAGUAGAGGUGGGCGGAAUUCGUGGCGUAGCGGUGAAAUGCUUAGAUAUCACGAAGAACUCCGAUUGCGAAGGCAGUUCACUGGACUGCAACUGACACUGAGGCUCGAAAGUGUGGGUAUCAAACAGGAUUAGAUACCCCUGUAGUC